UUGCAGAGGGCGUGCAGGGUGGAAGCAAUCGCUGUGGCUGUCUUUGGAAACAAUCUCGUGCAGACACGGGGUAUAAAUAACUUGCUCACAGUCCUACAGCUAAUAAGUAGGCUGUGGGCGGCCAGCGGGGUAAAGGCCAGACGUGCAGAAAUGUAGAGGCCAUUUCAGAUAAAAUGAUGCAUGUAAAUGAAAGCCCAGAGACAGGAAAAGCUGGAGAGUCAUGGCUCCCUUUGCUGGAAGAAGUAGGUAAACAAGGAUGAAGCAAAAAAAAGGUAGGCUGGGGCCAGACCGUGGCUGACCUUGAACACCAGGCUGAACUGUUUGGACCUUGAUUCUGUAGGCAGUGGGCAGCUGUGGGAAGGUCUGGAGCCAGACGGUGACUUGAUCAGGACUGCUUCAGGGAGAUUAAGCCAGCCCUGUGGGUGCGGGACGAGAAAACUUGCUCUGAGAGGUUGACGCUCCAGGAUCUCCAGCAAAGCAAAUGGCAGAGGCAGAAGGAGCCUCGCAGUUUCUUCAUGAAGACAGACUGAGCAGUGUAGAGCAUGGUUGGAAUGGCAGGAGACUGAGCGUAGGAAUCAGUUUUCCAGAUUGGGAAUUUGGACUCAGCUGCAAUCAUGUGGGUCAGCCCAGGGCUCAGCUGAAUGUUUCUUCUGUCCCACACAGCACCGACUUUGAGUCACUCAAUGGUAUUCAGCAGGUAGGCUGAGAUGCU